CAUAGCUGAUUUUGAGAAAUUACAGCAUUGUACAGUAAUUACGGACUCGGGACACACAAAGCUGGUUGACUCUGUACGGAGGCCACCGGCUCACGAUUAUUAGGUUGCUGAUGUGCGCAUAAAACAUUGUGAAUAUGGAUUCUCAUGUUUUCUUUGCCAAACCGGCCAUUCCUGUUGCGAUUGUCAGGGUCUGCGGCAUUGUCACUGGGCAAUGUACGAUCUAAACUGCUACUUCCCCGUUUACAAUGGCCCCAGAAAGUGUGACAUCGAUUCCUUCGCCCACUAAACAGGCGAUUUCGUUUCCGUUGCUGGCUAGUCUUUUGGCACACCAGAUCUGAGAAAACGUUAGCCGGAACUCCCGGCUCAAGGAACAGAGAAUGAUCAAAAAGACGGCACCCUUCAAUAAAUGCAGCGCAUCCAUCACAUUGCCGAGCGGGAUAAAGACAUUGUUGAAGAAAUCCACGGAGAAACAUGUGGAGAGCGCCAAUAAUCCCGAUGGACCGUCGGUAAGGAUGCAGACCACGGCGAUGACCAGUACCACAGCCGUUGGAACAUCCCGCCUCGCUGCCUGGUAACCACCUCGGGGAGCCGCCGGCCGCUGCAGUGCGUUGAAGGGUGUGGCCGAUAUUAUUUCCAUCUCGGUGGCGUUACUGGCCGGGUGACUCAUCUCCUGGGCGGUUGACGGAGCCGUUUGGAGUGUCGGGGAAUAAUUUGAUGGAAACGCUUCGUCGGAGAAUGUUAACGGAGUUCCAUGGCGUUCGGGACGAAGCAGGGCGAUCACCAAUGGAACGCUAAUAUUAUUGGAUUUAUUACUACUUACGUACUUGUUGAAUCCGCAUACAACAUAAUUAUGGUGUUAUCUAUGUAGA